rnacentral:tRNA from 1 species
GCUCCAGUAGCCAAGGGGUAAAGGCUCCCAUCUCAUAAAUGGGCGAACGUUGGGUUCGAAUCCCACCUGGAGUACCA